GAUGAACGCUGGCGGCGUGCCUAAUACAUGCAAGUCGAGCGAACAGAUGAGGAGCUUGCUCCUCUGACGUUAGCGGCGGACGGGUGAGUAACACGUGGAUAACCUACCUAUAAGACUGGGAUAACUUCGGGAAACCGGAGCUAAUACCGGAUAAUAUAUUGAACCGCAUGGUUCAAUAGUGAAAGACGGUUUUGCUGUCACUUAUAGAUGGAUCCGCGCCGCAUUAGCUAGUCGGUAAGGUAACGGCUUACCAAGGCAACGAUGCGUAGCCGACCUGAGAGGGUGAUCGGCCACACUGGAACUGAGACACGGACCAGACUCCUACGGGAGGCAGCAGUAGGGAAUCUUCCGCAAUGGGCGAAAGCCUGACGGAGCAACGCCGCGUGAGUGAUGAAGGUCUUCGGAUCGUAAAACUCUGUUAUUAGGGAAGAACAAAUGUGUAAGUAACUAUGCACGUCUUGACGGUACCUAAUCAGAAAGCCACGGCUAACUACGUG
rnacentral:rRNA from 1 species